GACGAACGCUGGCGGCGUGCUUAACACAUGCAAGUCGAACGGAGAGGCCCUUCUUUUGUUGGUUGCUCGAGUGGCGAACGGGUGAGUAACACGUGAGUAACCUGCCCUUGACUUUGGUAUAACUUCAGGAAACUGAGGCUAAUACCGUAUAGGAUCUCCUGCUUCUUGGUGGGGGUUGGAAUGUUUCGGCGGUUGGGUAUGGACUCGCGGCUUUUCAGCGUGUUGGUGGGGUAGUGGCUUACCAAGGCUUUGACGGGUAGACGGCCUGAGAGGGUGAGAGGCAACAUUGGGACUGAGAUACGGCCCAGACGCCUACGGGAGGGAGCAGUGGGGAAUAUUGCAAAAUGGGCGGAAGGCGGAAGCAGCGACGCCGAGUGCGGGAUGAAGGCCUUCGGGUUGUAAAGCGCUUUCGCCUGGGACGAAGCGUGAGUGACGGUAAUGGGUAAAGAAGCACCGGCUAACUACGUG
rnacentral:rRNA from 1 species